AGUUGCAAAGAUAAAAACACAUUGAGAAUCCGUUGGUAGUCGGAUCACUGCUUGCAGUCAGUAACCUUCCUCCUUGGUCGUCCAUUCUUUGUGCAUGAUAA
rfam:Coprobacillus sp. 29_1 genomic scaffold supercont1.2, whole genome shotgun sequence.